UACGUAGGUGGCAAGCGUUGUCCGGAUUUACUGGGCGUAAAGAGCGCGCAGGCGGUCGUUCAAGUCGCGUGUGAAAGCCCCCGGCUCAACUGGGGAGGGUCACGCGAUACUGAUCGACUUGAAGGCAGGAGAGGGAAGCGGAAUUCCCGGUGUAGUGGUGAAAUGCGUAGAUAUCAGUCGGAACUCCGGUGGCGAAGGCGAUGUGCUGGACCUUUACUGACGCUGAGGCGCGAAAGCCAGGGGAGCAAACGGG
rnacentral:rRNA from 1 species